rnacentral:rRNA from 1 species
AUACAACGAAGAGUUUGAUCCUGGCUCAGGAUGAACGCUAGCGACAGGCCUAACACAUGCAAGUCGAGGGGCAACAUGGUAUCAGCUUGCUGAUACCGAUGGCGACCGGCGCACGGGUGAGUAACGCGUAUGUAAUCUACCUGUAACAGAGGGAUAACCCGGAGAAAUCCGGACUAAUACCUCAUAGCACAUAUUAUUCGCAUGAAUUUUAUGUUAAAGAGACUCGGUUACAGAUGAACAUGCGUUCCAUUAGCUGGUUGGCGGGGUCACGGCCCACCAAGGCAACGAUGGAUAGGGGUUCUGAGAGGAAGGUCCCCCACACUGGUACUGAGACACGGACCAGACUCCUACGGGAGGCAGCAGUGAGGAAUAUUGGUCAAUGGGCGCGGCCCUACGGGUUGUAAACUCCUUUUACCUGGGAAUAACGGGCGCUACGCGUAGCGCUGUGCAAGUACCGGGAGAAUAAGCAUCGGCUAAUUCCGUGCCAGCAGCCGCGGUAAUACGGAAGAUGCGAGCGUUAUCCGGAUUUAUUGGGUUUAAAGGGUGCGUAGGCGGAAGAAUAAGUCAGCGGUGAAAUGCUUCAGCUCAACUGGAGAAUUGCCGAUGAAACUGUUUUUCUAGAGUAUAAAAGAGGUAUGCGGAAUGCGUGGUGUAGCGGUGAAAUGCAUAGAUAUCACGCAGAACCCCGAUUGCGAAGGCAGCAUACUGGGCUAUAACUGACGCUGAAGCACGAAAGCGUGGGUAUCGAACAGGAUUAGAUACCCUGGUAGUCCACGCCGUAAACGAUGAAUACUAACUGUUUGCGAUAUAAUGUAAGCGGUACAGCGAAAGCGUUAAGUAUUCCACCUGGGGAGUACGCCGGCAACGGUGAAACUCAAAGGAAUUGACGGGGGCCCGCACAAGCGGAGCGACAGGGGAAUAAUCCCGAAAAGGAUUAGCCAGCAAUGGUCGCUGUCGAGGUGCUGCAUGGUUGUCGUCAGCUCGUGCCGUGAGGUGUCGGCUUAAGUGCCAUAACGAGCGCAACCCUUACCGGUAGUUACUAACAGGUCAAGCUGAGGACUCUACCGGGACUGCCAGCGCAAGCUGUGAGGAAGGUGGGGAUGACGUCAAAUCAGCACGGCCCUUACGUCCGGGGCGACACACGUGUUACAAUGGCAGGUACAGAGAGUCGCUUCGUAGCAAUACGUAGCCAAUCCCAAAAACCUGUCUCAGUUCGGAUCGGAGUCUGCAACUCGACUCCGUGAAGCUGGAUUCGCUAGUAAUCGCGCAUCAGCCAUGGCGCGGUGAAUACGUUCCCGGGCCU